rnacentral:rRNA from 1 species
AGUAAAAGUCGUAACAAGGUUUCCGUAGGUGAACCUGCGGAAGGAUCAUUAUCGAGUUUUUGAACGGGUUGUCUGCUGGCUCGAAAGAGCAUGUGCACGCCUGGCUCAUCCACUCUCAACUUCUGUGCACUUUUCGUAGGCCGGCUUGUGGGUGUCGCGUUCGCGCGCACUUGUAGGUCUGGCUUAUGCUCUACCACAAACGAUUCAGUUAUAGAAUGUCUUUACUUUGCGAUAACGCAAUUAUAUACAACUUUCAGCAACGGAUCUCUUGGCUCUCGCAUCGAUGAAGAACGCAGCGAAAUGCGAUAAGUAAUGUGAAUUGCAGAAUUCAGUGAAUCAUCGAAUCUUUGAACGCACCUUGCGCUCCUUGGUAUUCCGAGGAGCAUGCCUGUUUGAGUCUCGUGGAAUUCUCAACCUUCGACUUUGUUGUCGAGGGCUUGGACUUGGAGGUCGUGCCGGCUCUCGUAGUCGGCUCCUCUGAAAUGCAUCAGUGCGAACGUUACCAGCCGCUUCAGCGUGAUAAUUAUCUGCGCUGCUGUGGAGGGUAUGUCAGUGUUCGUGCUUCGAACCGUCUUCGGACAACAUUUCAUCUCUGAGCUCAAAUCAGGUAGGACUACCCGCUGAACUUAAGCAUAUCAAUAAGCGGAGGA